rnacentral:rRNA from 1 species
CCUACGGGAGGCACGCAGUGGGGAAUAUUGGACAAUGGGCGAAAGCCUGAUCCAGCCAUGCCGCGCGAAUGAUGAAGGCCUUAGGGUUGUAAAGUUCUUUUGCCAGGGAAGAUAAUGACGGUACCUGGAGAAUAAGCACCGGCUAACUUCGUGCCAGCAGCCGCGGUAAUACGAAGGGUGCUAGCGUUGUUCGGAAUUACUGGGCGUAAAGCGCGCGUAGGCGGCUAUACAAGUCAGAGGUGAAAUCCCGGGGCUCAACCCCGGAACUGCCUUUGAAACUGUAUAGCUGGAGUGUGUGAGGGGAUGGCGGAAUUCCUAAUGUAGAGGUGAAAUUCGUAGAUAUUAGGAGGAACACCGGUGGCGAAGGCGGCCAUCUGGCACACAACUGACGCUGAGGCGCGAAAGCGUGGGGAUCAAACAGGAUUAGAUACCCUGGUAGUCCACGCUGUAAACGAUGAGUGCUAGCCGUUAGAUCCUUAGGAUUUAGUGGCGUCGCUAACGCAUUAAGCACUCCGCCUGGGGAGUACGGUCGCAAGAUUAAAACUCAAAGGAAUUGACGG